UCUCUCUUUCUCUCUUCUCCCUCUUCUCUCCCUCGGCACAACUCUCUCCCUCUCACCCGUGCCCUUCUUCCCUGCAAAUCCUCACUUCCACACCACAUCAAUGAAGAUGACAGCACCCAUCACAACCUCUGCAGUUUUCUCUCAUCCGUUGUAGAAAGGACGACGAAAUCCCAGAAGCCUCCGACGAGCACCGCCCCUUUCGAGGCAAUUUCCGGCCAAACUACCGCGAGUUGGCCGGCGUACAAGUUUCCGGCGAGUCCGACGGCUUUCGAGGCGUUUUGCGGUCAAACCACGGCGAGUUAGACGUCGUGUGAGGGGCAAUUAUAUGUGGCAUUCCUUCUUUGAUAGUUUGCGUGGCUCUUCGGCGGCUAAGUACUGGCUUAGAAUCGAGGCAUACAAUCCCGGCAUCCAGGCACU